rnacentral:lncRNA from 1 species
CGUCGGUUGAUGUAAGAUUGUGGAUCCUCUAACUUAUGAGAUUAAUAACUUGGAUCCUUUUUUCUCAAUUUUCGUUCUUUUAUUUAUUUAUUUUGGGACACAUUCUUUGAAAAAUUUGAUGACUUUUUUUUCUUUUUAAUUUUUUAAAGCUUCAAAUGUUCCUUUCUAAUAGUCGUCGGUGCUGAGCUGACCUAGAUUAACAUGCAUACUAGGUGAUUGCCACAAGCUCUUAAGUUUGAAGGGAUAUUGAAAUAUAGUAGAUGAGUUUGAAUUGUGUGGUAUAUGGAAG